rnacentral:rRNA from 1 species
UACGGAGGGUGCAAGCGUUAUCCGGAUUCACUGGGUUUAAAGGGUGCGUAGGUGGAUUAGUAAGUCAGUGGUGAAAUCUCCGGGCUUAACCCGGAAACUGCCAUUGAUGCUAUUAGUCUUGAAUACCGUGGAGGUCAGCGGAAUAUGUCAUGUAGCGGUGAAAUGCUUAGAUAUGACAUAGAACACCAAUUGCGAAGGCAGCUGGCUGCACGAGCAUUGACACUCAGGCACGAAAGCGUGGGGAGCAAACAGG